UACGGAGGGAGCUAGCGUGGUUCGGAAUUACUGGGCGUAAAGCGUACGUAGGCGGCUAUUCAAGUCAGAGGUGAAAGCCCGGGGCUCAACCCCGGAACUGCCUUUGAAACUAGGUAGCUAGAGUCUUGGAGAGGUUAGUGGAAUUCCGAGUGUAGAGGUGAAAUUCGUAGAUAUUCGGAAGAACACCAGUGGCGAAGGCGACUAACUGGACAAGUACUGACGCUGAGGUACGAAAGCGUGGGGAGCAAACAGG
rnacentral:rRNA from 1 species